GUUUAAAACUAGAUUAAAGACCCAUCUCUUUAACUUGGCAUACAUAUAACACACAAUCAUAUUUCUAUCAUUCAAAUCCGUUAAAAGAUUGUUAGACUGCAUUAAUUAGGUCAACCGGAACCGGGAACACUUCCCAUAACACCCGAUGUACAAUACUCGCU